GACGAACGCUGGCGGCGUGCUUAACACAUGCAAGUCGAGCGACUGCAUUCUUUUCGGAGGGUGUAUGGAGCGGCGAACGGGUGAGUAACACGUGAGUAAUCUGCCUUUGGCUUGGGAAUAACUUCGGGAAAUCGGGGCUAAUGCCUGAUGUUUACUGUCUGCUGCAUGGUGGGUGGUGGAAAGAUUUUUUUGGCCAGGGAUGAGCUCGCGGUCUAUCAGCUUGNGGU
rnacentral:rRNA from 1 species